rnacentral:rRNA from 1 species
GCAAGUAUGGUAAGGGCGGACGGUGGAUCCCUCGGCAGCCGGAGGCGAUGAAGGGCGUGGCCAGCUGCGAUAAGCCCCGGGGAGCCGCUGAGCAGGCUAUGAUCCGGGGAUUCCCGAAUGGGGCAACCCACCGUGCCGACAAGGCGCGGUAUCCGUCGCCGAAAUCCAAAAGUAAGCGGCGGAGGCGAACCCCGCGAAGGGAAACAUCCCAGUAGCGGGAGGAGGAGAAAUCAACCGAGAUUCCCCUAGUAGCGGCGAGCGAACGGGGAACAGCCCAAACCGCGGCAGUGUAAGGCCGCAGCC